rnacentral:rRNA from 1 species
GACGAACGCUGGCGGCGUGCUUAACACAUGCAAGUCGAACGGGAGUAUUGAAGAAGCUUGCUUUAGAGAUACUUUAGUGGCGGACGGGUGAGUAACGCGUGAGGAGCUGUCCGAUGCAGGGGGACAACAGUUGGAAACGACUGCUAAUACCCCAUAAGCCGAGAGGUAAAAGGAUUUAUCCGGCAAUGGAGGUACUCGCGUCCUAUCAGCUAGUAGGUGAGGUAACGGCUCACCUAGGCGAAGACGGGUAGCCGGCCUGAGAGGGCGAACGGCCACACUGGAACUGAGACACGGCCCAGACUCCUACGGGAGGCAGCAGUGGGGAAUAUUGGACAAUGGGCGCAAGCCUGAUCCAGCCAUGCCGCGUGAGUGAUGAAGGCCCUAGGGUUGUAAAGCUCUUUCGCCAGGGACGAUAAUGACGGUACCUGGAUAAGAAGCCCCGGCUAACUUCGUGCCAGCCGCCGCCGUAA